CGCGGGGCGAGGCCGCCUCCCGGGCCUGCCCGGCCGCGCAGAUGCGCCGCCUCGCCCGGAGCCUCCCGCCCGCCUUGCCGGGGACUGCGGAGCCGCCAGGGGAACACCCAGCGCCGCAUCCACCGGCGGCUCGCGGGCCGCCGUCCCGCCCUGCCAGGGUCCUGCUCUGGCCCUUGGAAAGGCAUCGCUGGCUGUGGAGCUGCUGCAGCACGCCCAAGAUCUGAGCCUGUGGAUUCAGCAUGGAGCCCUCAUCCCCAGCAGCCAGGUGGAGCAGCCCGCUGAGAAAAGGGAGCUUGGUGCGUGACUGCAAGAUUCACCAGUGCCUCUUCCGCAGCUGGUCUUGUGCAGCCUCAUUCGUCUUGACCCAGCACCUCUUCCCUGCUCACAGACAGCUGCUGAGCCUCAAGCUCUUCACUGACUGUGAAUGCAGUUGGGAACACUCUCCUCCCCCCCACUUUUAAGUUGGCUCUCAAAGCCCAUCGCAGAUGGUCUGUACCUCAUACAUAAUAAAGAUUUUUUUUUUCUUCUGAGGCGGGUUUGU
rnacentral:lncRNA from 1 species